AAAGUCGUAACAAGGUUUCCGUAGGUGAACCUGCGGAAGGAUCAUUAUCACGUAUCCACGUAUAAACCAUUGUGAACCGUAUCUAGCCCUUUGUUGAGAGUGAGGUAGUGGGUUAUUAAACAUAUGAACUCUUAUGUGAUUUGUAGUUCGUUUGAUAACUCCAAUGUCAAUUUAUUGAUAUACUCGUUCACUUCAGAGGUGUAUUUUCAAAUCACUUAUUGUAUUAACAAUUUAAACCAUUAUGAUUUUGUGUCUGAUUUUUUUGUUACUCUUAACGGAGAACAAAUUCAUUACGAAACUAUUAUACAACUCUUAGCAACGGAUAUCUUGGUUCUC
rnacentral:misc_RNA from 1 species